UGCAAGUCGAGCGGCAAGUUGGGUAGUAAUACUUAACCUAGAGCGGCGCACGGGUGCGUAACGCGUAUGCAACCUACCUUUUACUGGGGGAUAGCCCGGAGAAAUCUGGAUUAAUACCCCAUGGUAUCUAGAGGUCGAAUGACUUUUAGUUUAAAGAUUUAUCGGUAAGAGAUGGGCAUGCGUCUGAUUAGCUAGUUGGGGGGGUAACGGCCCACCAAGGCGACGAUCAGUAGGGGUUCUGAGAGGAAGGUCCCCCACACUGGCACUGAGAUACGGGCCAGACUCCUACGGGAGGCAGCAGUAGGGAAUAUUGGGCAAUGGUCGCAAGACUGACCCAGCCAUGCCGCGUGCAGGAAGACGGCCCUCUGGGUUGUAAACUGCUUUUAUCUGGGAAGAAAAAGUCCAUGCGUGGAGGAUUGCGGGUACCAGAUGAAUAAGCACCGGCUAACUCCGUGCCAGCAGCCGCGGUAAUACGGAGGGUGCAAGCGUUGUCCGGAUUUAUUGGGUUUAAAGGGUGCGUAGGCGGCUGAAUAAGUCAGCGGUGAAAGACUUCGGCUUAACCGGAGCAGUGCCGUUGAUACUGUUUAGCUUGAGUGUUGGAGGGGUACAUGGAAUUGAUGGUGUAGCGGUGAAACGCAUAGAUACCAUCAGGAACACCGAUAGCGAAGGCAUUGUACUGGCCAACAACUGACGCUGAGGC
rnacentral:rRNA from 1 species